rnacentral:rRNA from 1 species
AGCGAACGCUGGCGGCAGGCCUAACACAUGCAAGUCGAACGAACCUUUCGGGGUUAGUGGCGGACGGGCGAGUAACACGUGGGAACGUGCCCUUAGGUUCGGAAUAACACAGGGAAACUUGUGCUAAUACCGAAUGUGCCCUUCGGGGGAAAGAUUCAUCGCCUAUAGAGCGGCCCGCGUCUGAUUAGCUAGUGGGGUGAGGUAAUGGCUCACCAAGGCGACGAUCAGUAGCUGGUCUGAGAGGAUGAUCAGCCACGUUGGGACUGAGACACGGCCCAAACUCCUACGGGAGGCAGCAGUGGGGAAUCUUGCGCAAUGAGCGAAAGCCUGACGCAGCCAUGCCGCGUGAAUGAUGAAGGGCUUAGGAUUGUAAAAUUCUUUCACCGGGGACGAUAAUGACGGUACCCGGAGAAGAAGCCCCGGCUAACUUCGUG